GGCACCAUGGGAAUUUCCUUUGCUAUUAUUUUAUAUUGCGCAGCAGAUUCAUAACUCUUGCACGUGUCAAGCGAGAUGGACCUCGUCACCUCAGGCUCAGAUCGCAGCUGCUCUCCUGAGGAGAAGAUGGGCUUGUAUGAAGGAUGGUAUCGUCCACUCGGAGAGUUGGAGAACCAUUCAGCCUACUUGUACGACAACCACAACUACGGCAUUAGUUAUGUUGUGCGCAUUGCGACAUCUCGACCAACCACCGAGGAAGAUGUCAGAAGAGUGUUCACGCUCCUCUUCCGGAAGACAAUUAACUUACGCAUGGUGCCAACCGAGCGCGAUGGGCAGCUGUGGCUGAGAGAGAUGAAGCACCAUCAAGAUAUCGACUUACAGACGUUGCUGGAUGUGGACGUGAAAGCUGUGUUCGAAGAAAUGGCGAGUUACAAGUACAACAUGAAUGAUGGGCCAGCGUGGGCCGUGCGUUUCCUUCCUCUUUCGCCCAAACAUGAUGACUACAUCAGGCUAACGACCAUGGAAAGCGCGGAUAAAGAACUCAUUACACUGCCUCACGUCUGCCACAUUGUGAUGAGCUUCCACCACAGCAUAGCUGACGGUUACACUUGCGUGCGAAUCAUCCGACACGUCUUGAUGCUUUUGAACGAUGUCAUCGAGGGGAACCCCAUUGAUGAGUCCCAGCAGUAUGCACAAAUGCUCGAUAUAACGAAGCAAAAUGUAAUUUUUGAAGAAAUAUAUCGAGCAUUCAGUGAAAAUCCAGACCUUCUAAAAGCCCGUUCAAAGAUGUUAGACACCUUUUUUCCGGAUGCUCUUUUAAGCCAAGUCUAUGAACAUCCGUCCAAAACACUUCCUAAAAUUGUAAGUCUACCGCGCAUCUUAGACGGUAUUACCACCACCAAGUUUGUGAAACGUUGCAAGGAAGAAGGCGUCACGGUUCACUCAAGCUUUUGCUCAGUGUUGGAGGCGAGUGUAGUUAAAGCUCUGCAAGAUGCCAAUUUGAGGCAGGAAACGCUACUUCAAUGACGGUACAAAUGCAUACGGUACAGCUUUGGGAGUCUUGACGCUCACGACCGAUGUUCCCAGAGACAUAUGUUCUAAUUUUUGGAGUCAUGUAAAAAAAUUUCACCAGGAUUUUGUGGAUGAGUUGAACCGCAUGAAUAGCAUGGAACUUAAUAUACUCAUGGAAUUAACAGGAAAGAAUCCCCGAUUCUUUAUUGACUCGAAGGGAAUUGAUUCUCCUCCUCCAAAAAUUGCGACUUAUUCUACCAGUAACAUGAGGGACGUUACAGAUAUCCUUUCUAACUUCGGCGAAAACGUCAAUCUUCUUUUUUAUGACCAGCUGACCGCGGUGCAAGCGUUACCCAUCUUGUGGAGUAGCAACUUCCAGUCGCUCAACGGUCAACUCAUGCACUCUCUGCAGUACAACACGCAGCUAAUGGAGGAGGCCUUGGCCGUCAAAAUUGUGGAUUCCGCGUUCGAGAUUUUGAAAGAGGUUGUUCAACAAUCGUGAAGAGAUUCUAGAUCACUAAUAAAGGGAUUCUAGAUCACUUGAUUUUUAUGACUUUUUUAUUUAUUUAUUUUUUUAAUUAACAGGAUAUUCGACAAACUGAUAAACCUAAAUCGACGUUCCGGCUAAUGUUGCCUCCAUAAUUUUCGCGUGUUCAAUUCUUGUAUCUUAUUUAUAAUCCUAAUUGUAACUGAUUUUUUAUAAGCCGCACUUAAUUUACUCUUGCAAGCAAGAUUUAUCUCUCCUCUAAAUAAAGGUCCUCCUGCAAAUUUUGUUAAAAAAAAUUCGACACUCUGAGAAGACCACAUAUCAGAGAUUGACACAGUAAUUCCUGAAUAAGUUGCGUCAUAAUCUGUCUCUCCAAAAAAUAGUAUAUUAUUAUAGUUUCCUUUUUUCAAUUUAUGGAUGUCAUGUUUUUUACGCAUAAAAGUCUUACGAUCGGUUGUUCGUGGUGAUAAAAUGAUUUAUGUAACGAGAAAUUGAUCGGCUCCAAAUAUAUUCAUUGAGUUCGUUCA